AAGGCCUACGGGAGGCAGCAGUGGGGAAUAUUGGGCAAUGGGCGCAAGCCUGACCCAGCAACGCCGCGUGAAGGAAGAAGGCUUUCGGGUUGUAAACUUCUUUUAUUCGGGACGAAGAAAGUGACGGUACCGAAUGAAUAAGCUCCGGCUAACUACGUGCCAGCAGCCGCGGUAAUACGUAGGGAGCAAGCGUUAUCCGGAUUUACUGGGUGUAAAGGGCGCGUAGGCGGGAUGGCAAGUCAGAUGUGAAAUCCGGGGGCUCAACCCCUGAACUGCCUUUGAAACUGUCGUUCUUGAGUACUGGG
rnacentral:rRNA from 1 species